rnacentral:rRNA from 1 species
AUGCGCUUUUGCUUCGAAUCCUUCUGGUUGAACCAGUUGGGAUUUGUUGAGGCCGUUGGCGCGCGGUAGGAGGCGGCGCGUGCCUCUCCUCACCGGUCUCUCUACGCCAUGGACUCCUAUCACUUCUGCGCUAAGAGCGCUCGCCAGUUUAUGAGGUGGGGAGCCAACCUUGGUAGGAACAUUCGUGAUAGGAAGAAGGCUUUUCUCGACUCCAUCCAGGCACUUAACCUUAGGGAUGACACAUCGGGCCUUUCGGCCAACGAGUGGCUUCUACGCCAUGAUCUUGACCCGCUCAUGGUCAUUUACACCGAUGAGGAGGCCUACUGGCGUCAGCAUGCAACCCAGAAGUGGGUUCUUUAGGGAGACACGAAUAUGACAUACUUCCAGGCCAUAGCCAAUGGACGAAGACGCCGAAACACCAUCCCCCUCUUGUGGGACGGUGAGACCCUCCUCCAACAGCCGGCUGACAUUUGCGCGCACGUGGAUGGGUUUUAGAAAGCCCUUUUCUCGUCCUCCCCUCACGGAAGCUUGGCCUUGGCCCCCGAUAUCUAGGCCGAGCACCAGCGCAUCUCGGGGGCCGAGAAGGCAACCAUGACACCUUUUUCUGAGGAAGUCUGGAUGGCCAUCAAGCGCAUCAAUCCGAUAGCCGACUCAGACCCUAAUGGCCUCCCAGUUAAGUUCUUCCGGACGUUCUGGAGAGUCAUUAAACAUGACGUGAUGGCUCUCUUCGAGGAGUUCUAUGUGGGCUCCAUUGAUGUGACCUAACUUAACUACAGGAUCAUCACCCUCAUUCCGAAGGUUCCUGAGGCUUCAGACAUCCGCCAGUUUCCCACGAUCACGGUGAUCAAUGUGAUCUUCUGCAUCCUGGCAAAGUGGUACGUCAAUAGGGUGACCUCACUAGCUGACUGUGCUACCCAUCCAAAUCAGUCGGCCUUCAUCCAAGGCCGCUAUUUUCUUGAUGGGAUCUUGGUCUUCCAUGAAAUUCGCGCCAAAAGCCAGAAGGCGGUAUUCCUGAAAAUCGACUUUCAUAAAGCCUAUGUCACUGUCCAUUGGCCCUUCCUUCAGGAAGUUUUGCUCUGCAAGGGGUUUGAUGAUUGUUGGGUCACCCAAGUCAUGCAGAUGGUUUCAUCCGGUCGUACCGCGGUUAACAUCAAUGCAGAGAUCGGCUGUACUUCCUGCUACUUGUGA